UUUUUUUUUUUUUUUUUUUUUUUUUUUUUUGUUUUUUAGGGCCACACCCACGGCAUAUGGAGGUUCCCAGUCUAGGGGUCCAAUCAGAGCUACAGCUGCUGGCCUACACCACAGCUACAGCAAUGCCAGAUCGGAGCCACAUCUGUGACCUAUGCCACAGCUCAUGGCAACACCAGAUUCUUAACUCCCUGAGCAAGGCCAGGGACCAAACCCACAAUCUUGGGGUUCCUAGUCAGAAUGUUUCCGCUGUGCCACAACGGGAACUCCCCAGGAAUUUGUUUUAAUGAAACACUCACAUAAGUUUGUUAAGAAAUAUGCAACCCCAUCAAUUUAGCCUUGUCCUGAAUUCGUUGUGUUUUUUUGUUUGUUUUUGAUUUUUCUUUUUAGGGCCACUCCCACGGCAUAUGGAAGUUCCCAGGCUAGGGAUCGAAUCAGAGCUGCAGCUGCUGGCCUAUACCACAGCCACAGCAAUGCCAGAUCCAAGGGCAUCUGUAACCUACAUCAUAGUUUGUAGCAACGCUGGAUCCUCAGCCCAUUGAGAGAGGGCAGGGAUUGAACACGUAUCAUCGUGGAUACUGGUUGGGUUCUUAAUCUGCUGGGCCACAAUUCGAACUCCAAUUUAGCCUUGUCUUGGAGUGAAAAGUUGGAGGGUACCAAGGACUCACAGUAUGGGGACUAGUGGAGAAAAGUGAGACAGAGCCAGAUAGUCAUGUACACUGUAGUGCCUCUGGUAAAUUAAUGACAUGGUUCUGCAUUUCCUCAUGUGGAAGGAGGUCUGACAGCUCAUUCAUCCUACACACUUUCUUGGGCACCUGCUAUGUUCCAGUAUCUGUUCUAGGCAAAGGAUGCAGCAGUGAAGAAAGGAGACAAUGUCCUUGCCCCCAUGAAGCUUCCAUUCUAAUGGGAAAGAUUUUCACAAACAAAUAAAUACAUAUUAUCACAUAAUAACAUAUCCAUUAGGUUAAAAAAAAAAAAGCAAGGAGCAUGGGGAAGUCACUUCGGAAAACAGUUUGGCAGUUUCUUAUAAGGUUAAAUAGAUAUUUACCAAUAUACCUUUGGUCCGGCCAUCCCACUCCUGGGUAUUUACCCAAGAGAAAUGCAAAUUUAUAGUCACCCUAGAACCUGUGUGUGUCCUGUAAUUUCAUUUUAUGUGACAUUCUGGUAAAGGCAGAAUAUAGGGACAGAGAAUAGAUUAAUCAUUUCUGGGAACUAGGGUUGAAGGAAGGGGUUGAUUACAUCAGGGCACAAGGGAAUUUGGGAGGGUAUUGAAACUGUCCUAAGUCUUUGUUGUGGUGAUGCCUACACAGCUGUAGAUGUUUGGUCAAGACUCCUAAUUCUACAUUAAAAACAGUGAAUUUUACUAUAAGUAGAUUAUAUACCUCAGUAAACCCUAUUAAGGAAAAAAAGCAAAGUACAAGUUCUGUAUACAGUAUAAUCCCAUUUUUGUAAGUAAUAAGAAUAAUAAAAGAUGUUAGAUUGUGCUUAGGGAAAAAAAAAUUAGUUGAAUAUCCAGUACGUUGAAUUGUUAACAGUAAGUUAUCUGGGUUGGGGAAAGGGGUGUUUCAUUUUCUAAAUUACACAUUUCUUUGAUGUUUGAAUAUUUUAUGGGGCAUGUGUUACUUUCAAAAUUACAGGGGACAACGGAUUGUAAUACAAAAGUUAACCUUCAGUGCUGGUCAGGCUACUGUGGCCAGGUGCAGAACUCAUUUGAGAUGCUCAGGCUACAUCACUGAUCCUAAUUCCGGCUCUGGAGGGCAAUUGUCCACUCAGGCUGUUGGUGACAACAGGCAAGGAAGGGCUGCUCCCCCCUCUAUGCUGCUACUGGGGGGAGUGGGCCCUUCAGUAGUUCUCACGGGACUGGUUUUUGUGGACAGAGGUGGAGUGAGGCUUAGGGCUGACAAGGCUUUUGUCUUCCUGCCAUAGAGAGAAGCUGUCUGUGGCCCAAGGUGGUUUAACACCUCUGAUAAUAAACCCAACAUUGAUUGACACUUGCUCUGUGCCAGACACUGGCCAAGGACUUACUGCUUAGUAUUAUUUUGUAAUUCCUUCAUUUAACAAACAUUUGUGGGAUACUUUUUUUUUUUUUUUACAUUUUGCUUUUGUUUUUGGCCACACCUGCGGCAUGUGGAAGUUCCUGGGUCAGGUAUCAUACCCCUUGGCACAAUAGCGACCUCAGCCCCUGCAGUGAUAACACCGGAUCCUUAACCUGCUGACCCACAUGGGAAGCCACAAACACUUGUUAAACACCAACAAUAUUCUAGGCACUGGGGAUAUGAUAGCGAUCAAAGAGGGGAAAGAAAAAAGCCCUUAUGUUCCAUCCCCCUUAUAUUCUAAUAGGGAAAGGGGGAGACAAGCACAAAUAUGUGAGAACAGAUACAUAUCAGAGGAUUUUAUUUUUUUAUUUUUAUUUGUCUUUUUGCCAUUUCUUGGGCCACUCCCGCUGCAUAUGGAGGUUCCUAGGCUAGGGGUCAAAUCAGGGCUGUAGCUGCUGGCCUAUGCCAGAACCACGGCAAUGCAGGAUCCAAGCCGCAUCUGCGACUUACACCACAGCUCCCGGCAACACCGGAUCCUUAAUCCACUGAGCAAGGCCAGGGAUUGAACCCGCAAACUCAUGGUUCUUAGUCGGAUUCGUUAACCACUGAGCCAUGACGGGAACUCCUGUCAGAGGAUUUUUAGAUGCUAAGAGAAAACUGAACAGAGUGAGGGUGCAAGAGGGAGGGAUUGGGGCAUACUGCUUUAGGUGCAGUGGUCCAAAAGGGUCUUUCCAAUUUGGGGGCCAUCUGACCCAAGGGGAGGAGGGGCCUGCCAGGGCCAGGGCUCUGAGGCUGAGUGUGUGAGCAGAGCCAGAGGGAGGUCAUGGUCCUGCAGCAGAGUGUGCGGGGGGGACACCUGCAAAGGAGCAAGAGGCCACAUGACCCAGGGCCCCCACAGGUGGCAACAAAGUGUUUGGCUUUAACUUUGAAGGAGAUGGGAAUCAUGGAAGGGUUUAGAGCAGAGGAGUGACAUAGGUUUGAUUAGGAUCCCUCUGACUGCUCUGCAGGAAAGAGGACACAGUGGGAGUGGGGCAGGAGUGAGAUCAUCAGAGAGACAAGUGGCUUAGGCUUGGGGUGGCACAUUCUGGAUAUUUUCAUUUCACCCUUCACUUUUCCCAUCUGCAAAAUGGAACAAUAAUAGUAUCUCCCUCACGGGAAAAUUAAACAAUUCCAUGGUGUAAACUAUCUGGCCCUGUGCCUGGUGCAUGGGAAAUGCUCAAUAAAUAUGUCUGUGCUUAUUAUUAUAGUUAUUAUUAUUAUUAUUGUUAUUGCUACUACUAUUGUUGUUGUUGUUGUUACCAACCUCCUUAUGAUGCCAGGAUAAUUAUGCACGCAUGAUGGAUGAGAAGAGUGAGGCUCAUAGGGUUGAGGCUGCUUCUUCAAGAGCAGGUGGCUGGUAAGUAGUGGAACUAUACUGUUCCAGGACCCUGCAGAACAUUUAUGGGGAGGCACACUUGGCCCGUGUGGAGACGGGAAGCCCAGAAUAAAGGGCAGAGGGUGUCUAAGCAAGUGGGAACCCUCUAACCUCAUCUUAUUUCAGAAGGCAGCAGUGGUCAAGCUUCAGAUCCUCCCUGGCACUUCCAAGCUGUGUGACCUUAAGCAAGUCAGCUCACCUCUCUGAGCCUCAGCUGUCUCAUUUGUAAGAUGAGGACUGUGAUAGGACCUACCCCAUGAGAUAGUUGUGACAAUUAGACACCUGGCAGAAAAUGAGCUGCCUAAACACAUUCAGAAAGCAGCCCCUCCUGAUGCUACAGUAAAGAGGGGGUAAUUGAGUAUAUAUGGUUGAUGGAAUGUCUUGUUGGUAGCACCCACCACACAGCUCUGUUAGGGAGGAGAAAGCCGUACUUCUGUUGGGAUCUUGAGAUGUGGCUGAUUAGAUUAUAUUGAACAGGCUCAUUAGGGUGCACUUGCUAUGGGAACAGUGACCUCUUCAUCAAACCACAAACACAGAACAUUGCAAAGGUGUUUUUUGAGUUUGAGUUAUUGUAUGAUUAACAUGAAGUAAAGUCUGCUUGUUGGAAAGUCACUUUAAGGGUCUAUUCUUUUUUUUUUUUUUUUAAUGUGAGGGAAUAUUUGCCUAGGUAUUUUUGGUGGAAUGUAAAGAAGGGGCUUCUCUGUUCAGUAAGCGUUGUGAAAUGCUGGUAGAAAAUCCCCAUAACACAACUUGCUAACAUUUACAGAAGCUGUUGUGAUUAAGUGGGAACCAAGCUACAGAAAAAUCUACAACAAGAAGUCAGCAAAGUAAGAUCAAGAGACUAUAAAGUAAACAAUAUAUAGAGAAUGAAAAGUAAUUUAUUUCCUUGGGGAAGCGAUCUGUACCGACAGCAGCAACAGAGUGACUCUGUAGAUGUACUCCAUUUCCAUCCGCGGGAGAUGAUUGCAGUCAGCACAUUUGAAAAUUGAGAAAUUGUGUACGCAAUUUGAAAAACCAACUGAUUAUAACUCACCAGUGUGCUAAGAGGUCAGUGGCCCAUUUCAAAAAGGAAAAACUGAGACUCAAGUGGGAGAGAAGAGUUGCUUGCCUCAUCCUUGCUGAGACACCAUAACCCAGAUGACCAGGAGAGCCCAGUGAGCCUGUCACUGGGCCAUGUGAAGACAAGGUGAUGACUCAUCUCUCACAUGUGGCUUUUUUUUGGCCUCCGAGUUGUUGCCUGAGUACGGACUGUGCUCUUUCCCAGGGUUGCUUUCAAAUAAAACGACCUGUUGCAGAAAGCAAGAGCUGCCUACCCCCACCCCCACCCCCCCAGGCAGGAACCCAGCCAGCAGGGAGCUGACACACCUGUGCUAGGGAGCAGGCAAAGUGUCCUCUCAGGCUGGGAACUUAAAGUGCCUGACAGUUUGGAAGGAACUGGUAUGGGUAUGGUCCCUGCAGCAUGGGGUCCUUUGUCUAACAUGCUAGGACCGGGAUGUCACUUCUCCAAGAGUAGUAUCACACAGCUGGUGUGGCUCAAUCAGUUGCCUUCUCUCCCAUCUAGCCCCUGAUUUAGGCCACUGGUGAAAAGACAUUUGUCUUCCUUACAAACCUCUGGACGCUUGGGUCUGGCCCGGAGCACAGAAAGCAGAAAGGGUGAGAUGUGCUGGCAGAAUUGCCAGAAGAGUUGGCAUCUCCCCUCCCAGAGCACAGCCUGGCUCAGGGCCACCCGAGAAGGCCGUUUCUUUUAUGAGCAUUGAAUUCACACUUGCACAGCCCUGGAGAGGAAAAGUUACAGAAUCCACCGUGUGAACACCCUCUUCCCUUAAAGAUAAUUUUGAGUUGGCUGUUAUGAGUGAGGCCGUUCAGAUUCUAAGAGCGUGUGUGUGUGUGUGUGUGUGUGUGUGUGUCCAUCCAGAGGAAACAGAAUUUAGUUGCAUGUGAUAUAUUUCACCACCUGCUGUGACCAUAGCCUGCAGCAUGUAAACUUAGUAGAGGCUGAAAAUUUAUGACUAUAGUCACUUGUCUUUGGUCAAGUGUCAGUGU
rnacentral:lncRNA from 1 species